GUGAGGAAUUUUCCGCAAUGGGCGAAAGCCUGACGGAGCAAUGCCGCGUGAAGGAUGAAGGCCUAUGGGUUGUAAACUUCUUUUCUCAGAAAAGAAUUAUGACGGUAUCUGAGGAAUAAGCAUCGGCUAACUCUGUGCCAGCAGCCGCGGUAAGACAGAGGAUGCAAGCGUUAUCCGGAAUGAUUGGGCGUAAAGCGUCUGUAGGUUGUUUAAAAAGUAUUCUGUCAAAGAUUAGGGCUUAACCCUAGAUAGGCAGAAUAAACUUUUAAGCUAGAGUUUGGUAGAGGCGGAGGGAAUUCCCGGUGGAGCGGUGAAAUGCGUAGAUAUCGGGAGGAACACCAAAGGCGAAGGCACUCUGCUGGGCCAAUACUAACACUGAGAGACGAAAGCGAGGGGAGCAAAUGGGAUUAGAAACCCUUGUAGUCC
rnacentral:rRNA from 1 species